CUCCCUCGCCCGGGGCAGGCUGCCGCCUCCCCGCCGGGCUGGCAGCGCGGUGGGGGCAGCGCCGGCCCCAGCUCGCCCCGUGGGGCUGGCGGCGCCCUCGUCGGGGGCGAAGCGGCCAGAAGGGAAAAUUACCCAGGUUGGAAAAUCACAAGAGUUAAAUAAACAAAGGAAAUGAAGAAAGUCACAGAAGACAUCACUGAACUACUGCGGUGAUGGCUUAUAAACACUCCAUAUCCUUUUUGUGUGGAAAUAAUAUUGCUGCUUUGCGUUUGGAAGGGUUCUCCUAAGCCAUUUGGCUGAAAAUCAAGGACAAUGAAAGAAGAAUAAUAUCAGGAUGAUCUCCGUGAGGGUUAUCUACACUGUGGUUCUCAGAAAAAAAUUAAUCCAAAUUGACUAGUUUUAGAUUUUUAAAAUGGAUCAUUAAACCAAGCUAAGCUCCUGUGUUGACUCUCUUAUUCAGAACUAAGGUUUUCCCAGUAAAUUGUUGUUCAUUGGAAAAAAAAAGAAAAAUACAUCCCAUUUAAUUCUGAAUGUCAACACACAGAAAUUUAAAACAGUUUAACAAAACCACUCUGAAAGUUGAUUCAGAUUAAUAUUUAAUCAUCCAGCAUUCCUGUCGCCUGGAGGCUUAUGAGCAUGGGAAACUUAAUGUGCUGUAAAGUAGCUUUUAAAUUUUCAUGGAAGGAGAAUACGCCAUUUUCAGGGAAGAGUAAACUACCGCUAGGAGUGGCCUACAGAAAUAGUGUACGAAAGACGCAUCCCAUAGUUUUUUGUUUGAUGGUGCGCAUUGAGAAGGAAUUUUUGCUGAACUGUUCACAAAGAUCCUGCCAGGUUAUUUUUAAAUGGGGAAGUGGCAGCUCAUUUAUAGCCGAAGAGCAUGCCUGAAAUGUUCAAAUGAGUUCCAGCUGAGACAGCUUUGGGUACAGUGUGAAAACAGGGAGUUUGGUUGAAGAAGGUCAUCCUACAGCAGGACAUCUCUCCUUCUAGCUGUCUUCAGUAAAACCAAGGUGACAGAUGAAAUGUCACCAACAGCCUUUGCACUUUUCCUUUUAAUUAAUGGCUCUUUGAGUGAAUCAGCAGACAUGUAAGACUCAUCUUUAUUAUGACUAAUUUGCUAUUAAAUCCUAUGUCACUAUUUUAGUUCAGUGGUGCUAUUGCUUCUUUACAGCUCACGUUACAAAACACCCUUUCAAAGCCCAAACAGAAAUUAAAAUUGAUUAAACACACAGUUACAUUGCCAAAAGCUACCUGAAAAUUGAGCAUGAAUAGCUUCAGAAGCUAGAAACGUUAUUCUAAAAAAUUUUCUUCUAAUGACAGGUUCUCUACCCCUAAGAGAUUCCAGAGAAGGAUGUCCUUGUUUGUAAAGAUGCUGAUGAGGAAAUGUAAGCAGGCUUCACUCUUGCAUUACACUUGAAACUGGAUGGUUAGAUUGCUCAAGUCAAAGCCCUAGAGGGAAUCAAUGCCUUGCUGGGGGGCAGUUCUGUCCCUGGUGAUUUUGAGAGAGUAUUAGUCUUGUCCCAGUGCAGAAUAGAAAGCCAUCUAAAGUACUGAAAACUUUUUCUAUGUUGCUAAGGAAGUCAGUACAGGGGGCAAGGACAGUGUUUUUCUUUCUUCAUUCGUCCUCCAAAUGUUUGUAAUUUCUGUGACCGCUCCCUGGGUGCAUUCUUCAUUAGUGUUUUUGCAAAAAAAAAAGUAUUAAUCUAACAUUUUCUGCAUAACAGUAACAUUUCAAAAAAACCUGAACAAUAAUUCUGUUAUUUUCUCACGGCAGUACUAGUCCCCCUCCCCGCCCAGUUAAAUUACAGGUCAUUCUGCCUGGGACGCUAUUGUGGGGGAAAACAAGUCCUCCCACAGCUGGGGCUGAGGGUCCCAGUUGUCUGAGUGGGAAUUCGUGCCACUGUCAGCCUGUCAGCUGUUAAACUGCUCCCUGACCUGAAGCUCUAGAGGGAAACCACCUUGGUGAAUCGAAGGAAUAUCACGUACCAGAGCCCCAUCACUGGACAGGCUUAACUCUUGCACUACUACAGCAUCAAGCAACUAGCUUGUUAGUAGGAAAAAUAAACCAUUCAGCUUGGAUAUCAACUGAAAAAUUGCACCAUAAUAAAGCUCAAGAUUGUUACGUGUUCUGCACAUAUAAGCAACAUCUAUCCAAAUGCUUUUUUCGUCCUACUACUUAAUUCAAUUUAUAAUAAUAUAGCAACUGCCCAGGAGCACCAACACAUUCAUAUGCAGGAAGUAAAUUAACUCAGUAAAUUACUGACAAAAAGAAACAAACCAAAUGUUUUUUUUUUUCCCUAGAAUAGCAUUCUCUCAACCAUUAUCAAACAGAUAACCUGUGUGAAAAGCUUAUACUUAAGGUGCCCUCCUUGGCUCUGCACUAUUCAUGGUACAAACCCAUGCAGUUUAUUACAGCAUACAAAGAAAAUUAUUUUUAUCUGCAAAUACUCUGUAGUAGCUCUUUCUUGCAAAUGAAUUACAGGUCAUUACCUACCAAAUAUCUGCUCACGUACGUGGCAUGUAGCCACCUUAAAAGGGACAGUGGAAGUGUGUGCCUAAUGAGGUCAUCCUGGGAAAUUCACAUAGAGUCAGGCGAGUCUGAUUAACAAGUUUACAGAAACAGGGACUGCAAGAAGACACGUCUUCACUUCUCAGGCUAGGCUGUACAGAUGGCACUUACUCCAAACUGUUCCAGUUUACGUUAGAAAGUGUUUAAUACGCAAGUUCAACCUAUUCUAUUCCCGGCUGAACAUAUUCAAGAACCUGGAGAAAACUGGUCUAAAGGGAAGUGUUAGAACAACAUUUGCAGCUUAACUUUUCACCACAGACCCUGGAAGUUAUCUUCAGACCUGCUUCUUGCAGGAAGAGUUUCAGUGAGGGUUGAGUUAAGGAUUAAACCUGAUGGGUUUCGUGUCAGGAUUCAGACCCCUAAACAUAUAGGUGUAUUAUUUUCUUCACCACAAGUGAUUUUCUUGUGGUGAUACAAGAUGCUUGCGCUCUAAUAGGCACCGAGUCAAGCUCCAACAUAACCUAAGCCAUAAGCAAUCCAUUGGAUUAGCCAUAAUAAGACAGUAGCGAGUCACCAAAACACUGACUUGAAUGGCUGCGUACGAAAGGAACCAAUCGUCUAUGUCCACAGGCUAAAGGCAGGUACGAAAAUAAUAAAAAUCACCAAAAUAAAUGCCAUUAAGUGUCCAUUUGGCUUGACCAUUCAGCUCAGUGUAUCAGGAAGCUGGAGAGAGGUAGGGGCAGCAGUUGCUGGGAGAGUGCAAGAGAAGAGGAGCUUCAUUCUGAGGAAAAAUACUGUUGGCACGUUCAAAGCUGCAGAAUGAAAGAAAGGCGUUAAGUAAGUGCCAAGCUUUCAGUGGAGUAAAAGGGAAUGGGUUACUUCAUCUCUGACAAUUGUAAACCUGACCAUAAAAUAGCAUUCUUGCAGACAGAAAAAUGUAUGGUCUGAAAGAGUUACUCAAAAGAAAGAUCAAAAGGUCCAAAGAGCUGGAUAUUACAGGAAAUCUUUGACUGCCAGUGAAGAAUCAGGGAAAAUGUUUCUAAAAUGGAAGGCACCAUCUUUCAAAUGGAACCUAACCCACUUGCAAUUUCAUUAUGCAUUGCACAUUACUUACAUUACUGAUCCAUGGUGGAGGGGACAUUAGGUGACCCAGGUAAAGUCAAGAGGAGCCAUCACAGACCUUUAAACAGUGUUGAACUGAAAAAAAGUUAAAAAAAAAGAUAAAACACAUCUGCAAUUAAAUUGUAACUCAGCUAUAACUAAGUACGCACAAAGUUAAAUGAAUUCUGGCUCAGUUUCUCAGAGAAAAUUAGAUAGUUCUGCUUAAAAAAAAAAAGGUGGGAGAAAAAAGCAUCCUUUUGCAAACGCAUUUUUCUAUUUUAUGCUUUUAACUACCGGCUCUUAAAUGGUGUCUGAAGAGGCCAGGGGGAACGCAUUAGGACCUCACCACAAGCACUGUGUUUGAACAUGGUUGUCUUGGGGAGAGGGGAAAGAAAGAUUUCCAGACUCAGUAUAGACAGAGCCUGAGGGCUGUUGGCAUAAGCACAAAGCCAGAGUAGUGAUUCAAGAAAAAUGAAAAGAAAAUGCCUUUAAAGCAGAAUUCACCGAAGAGACAUUAAACAGCAAAUGGCCGGCAGGGCCUUCAAGAGCAGCGUUUAAUAAUUAGGUCACUGCUCAGUUGCAGAGCUUUUUUGUGGACGAUGAAGGUGUUCUACAAUAAGAGUCAGAAACCUGCCGAAAGACAAUUUGCUUGCCUGUUUUAGAAACCCUCCUGGAUUCCCUGGUUCAGUUUUCACCACCGUAAUUACCAAAUGGCCGAGGCAACUGAUAUAGCAAAUUGACUGUUAACUUCCAAACCUGCUCACGGCUGGUCUUUAAGAGUUAACAGAGGAGAUCCGGGAGGCAGCAGCUGCCGGCAGAACGCCUCCGAGCAGCUCACAACAUCGUUCGGGGGAAUGAUGGACCUACCAGCAAUUUCUGUGUGCAGAGGGACACAGCGCAAUGCAAAGUUACUGGCUGCAUUUAAAAAGUCUCCCUUUCUGUGAUCAUUACUCUCCUUUCCCUGUGUCCAGGUCAGCAAAGCACUUGCACACGCAUUGUAUUUUAAAGCACAUGGCGAGGUCCUACGUGUGUUUCUGACUUGGUGUUUACAGACCCUGGCAGCUCUGUCAGAAAAUGCCAUCCAAGUGAAUAUUAGCCAGUAGUUGCACCCUGCAUCCUGAAGAGGAUUUCACAUUUGAAAGAGAAAAGAUGAGGCUGCUGCGUGCUACCAGGGAGCUACUGCAGUAGAGAUAAGCAGAGAAAUGUCAUCCGCCAACGUACAAGAUGAAGCAUGCCAGCCCCUGGAGUUUUAGUGAAUGUGUUUCCAUGUCUCUUCUUUCUUCUAGCUUAAAUUCUUUAUUAUUUUCAAAAAGGAGAGCAUGUAAGCAAUAAAAAAAUUGCUUGUGAAGGAGAGGACUUGCGUUCUCAAGGCAGCCUCUGGAUGGGUGAGAUGGCACCUCAAAGGCAGCUGGAUACAGAUUUCUAAUCAAAUCAGUCAUUAAGCUGUGUGGAGCUGGGAGCAAAUCUCAGCACAGGCUUAGGCAGGUCUGUGUGCAGCCAGCCUGGUUUUCCAGCUACUGCUUCAACUUACAGUGUCGUUUUGUUUCCCAAGAAAUGUUCUAGCAACCUAGGGGUACGGUGUGCUGGGGUGAGCAGGCUUGGGCUGUUCACCGAGCCACAGGCAGAACCCAGCCCAGGCAGAGACCUUGGCUUGCAGGACUGCCCUGUCCCUGCUGCUCUCGGGCUUUGAAGAGGCUCCUGCCACCAGCCCAGGGAGUGGAAGCAGGACUGGAGUGAGGAUUUGGGGAGCCGCGGUGGCUUGCAGGAAGGCAAGCGGGAGCUGGGAGCUGAGACCAAGACUCCUCUGACAGCCAGAGCAAGCGAGGGCUCGGCCAGGAGUCAGAGCAGCACUGGCACUGGAGUAGAAACACUUCAAGCAAAGCAUUGACACAUCAGGACGAGACCAGAUUUGCAGCCAGAAGCUCAGGCAGCCCUUAAGCAAGAGCUGAUCCAGCCAGAGCAGAGGCAUGGCAGGGUUGCCGGUCAGCUUUGGGUACCCCAAAGGCUGUGUCAGCCUCCUCAGGGGCAUCUCCAUAGCCCUUGGGAUGGACUCAAACCUCCAAGGCUGCGAAGAACCAGAGCACAGACCAAACUAUUUUCAGUCCCAUCUGUACUGCACACUGAUGUGCCUUGGUCAAAGUGACGUACAGGGAGUUGUUUUCCCAGUCUAGUGGGAACAGCACUCUUCUCUGAUGUUCCUUCUUUAGAGCAAUUAAUUUUUUUUUUCCAGUUUUAUGGUAAGGGAAAUAGAAGAAAGUGUCAAUAAACCUCAGAAACUCUUCUUUGGAAAAUGUGUUAUAGGUAUAAGGUGCUUGUGAUUUUAUAACACGUAUUUUUUUCCAGCUACAACGUGGA